rnacentral:rRNA from 1 species
UACGGGGGGGGCAAGCGUUGUUCGGAAUUACUGGGCGUAAAGGGCGCGUAGGCGGCUUUUCAAGUCGGGCGUGAAAUCUCCGGGCUUAACCCGGAAGGGUCGUUCGAUACUGUUGAGCUAGAGUGUGGAAGAGGCAGCUAGAAUUCCGUGUGUAGCGGUGAAAUGCGUAGAUAUACGGAGGAAUACCUGAGGCGAAGGCGGGUUGCUGGGCCAACACUGACGCUGAGGCGCGAAAGCCAGGGGAGCAAACGGG